rnacentral:rRNA from 1 species
AUGGCGACCGGCGCACGGGUGAGUAACACGUAUCCAACCUGCCGAUAACUCGGGGAUAGCCUUUCGAAAGAAAGAUUAAUACCCGAUGGCAUAAUAGAAUCGCAUGGUUUGAUUAUUAAAGAAUUUCGGCUAUCGAUGGGGAUGCGUUCCAUUAGGCAGUUGGUGGGGUAACGGCCCACCAAACCUUCGAUGGAUAGGGGUUCUGAGAGGAAGGUCCCCCACAUUGGAACUGAGACACGGUCCAA